rnacentral:rRNA from 1 species
UUCCAAUUCCACCUGUGCACACUUGUGACACUUGGGAAUGAGAGACUUUGACCAGUCUCUUGAGAGAAUUGAAAUCUGGGUGUCUAUGCCAUUUUACCAAACACUAGUUGCAUGUUUAUAGAAUGAUUAUUUGAUUGAAUAUAUAAAUACAACUUUCAACAACGGAUCUCUUGGCUCUCGCAUCGAUGAAGAACGCAGCGAAAUGCGAUAAGUAAUGUGAAUUGCAGAAUUAGUGAAUCAUCGAAUCUUUGAACGCACCUUGCGCUCUUGGCAUUCCGAGGAGCAUGCCUGUUUGAGUGUCAUUAACACCUCAAGACCUGUCUGCUUUUGAUAGGUAUUGGAUUUUGGGAGUUGCAGGCUGUUUCAGAUAUAGCUUGCUCUCCUUGAAUGUAUUAGUGGAGAAAAGCUGUUGAACUCCAUUGGUGUGAUAAAAUCUAUCAAUGCCAGGAGCAACAUCAAGUGGUCUCUGCUGUCUACCCUACUGUCUGACUACUUGACCUCAAAUCAGGUAGGACUCCCGCUGAACUUAGCAUAUCAAUAGCGGAG